rnacentral:rRNA from 1 species
GGGGAAUUUUGGACAAUGGGCGCAAGCCUGAUCCAGCAAUGCCGCGCGCAGGAUGAAGGCCUUCGGGUUGUAAACUGCUUUUGUACGGAGCGAAAAGGUCUGCCCUAAUACGGUGGGCUCAUGACGGUACCGUAAGAAUAAGCACCGGCUAACUACGUGCCAGCAGCCGCGGCAAUACGUAGGGUGCGAGCGUUAAUCGGAAUUACUGGGCGUAAAGCGUGCGCAGGCGGUUAUAUAAGACAGAUGUGAAAUCCCCGGGCUCAACCUGAGACCUGCAUUUGAGACUGUAUAGCUAGAGUACGGUAGAGGGGGAUGGAAUUCCGCGUGUAGCAGUGAAAUGCGUAGAUAUGCGGAGGAACACCGAUGGCGAAGGCAAUCCCCUGGACCUGUACUGACGCUCAUGCACGAAAGCGUGGGGAGCAAACA